CAGAAGAACUCUUGUGUUGGCUCACUGAAAUCUUAAUCUUCUUUCUCCCAGAAAGUGUCAGUGCAAAACCUCCAUUUUUGUAAUUGUCAAUGGCGGCAGAUACUGCAACGAACCUUGAACCAAUACGUACCUUCUUCAACAACCUCGAAGCUCGACAAACCCUACUGACCACCGUAACCGACCUCAACAAAACCCUAACCACUCACUUCACCAACAUAGACAACGCCCUCUGUUUGAAAUCGGAAACACUCGACAAUCAUGUAAAAAAUUUGAAGGAGAAGACGGAAGAUGCCUUACUGAAGAUUCAGAAUCGAGAGAAUGGCCUUCCCGAACGGGAAUCGAGCAUGGCUGCUCGAAUCGUGGAGAUGAAGGAUGAUGCUAUCUCUGAGAUUGAGAGUUUGAGGGAUUUAGACGAGAAAAAAAGUUUGUCUGAAGUGUUGAAGAGUUACUGUAAGAGAAUGGAUGCUAGAGGCCUUGUUAGAUUUAUUCAGACAAAGAGAAAGGAACCGGCGGGUUUGAGGAUGGAGAUUGCUACUGCACUCGAAAGCUCUGUGGAUCCAAUGAGGUUGAUCUUGGAUGCAGCAGAGGAGUUUGUGGGGAUGAAGGUAGAGAAGAAGGCGAUACUGGCAGAUAGGAGGUGGGCUUGUGAUAUGUUAAUUCAGUCAUUUGUGCCAGUUGUGGAAGGGGGUUAUGGUGCAGGGAGGAGUUUGAAGGAGAGGGCGGCAAGGGUGUUGGAGAAAUGGAAGGGAGUUUUGGGUGGUGGGGACAGGAGCAGUGGAGUUUGCGCUGCUGAAGCAACAAUGUUUUUGCAGUUGGUUAUAGCAUUUGCGCUAAAAGAGAGGUUUGAGGAGGAUUUCCUAAGGAAGCUGGUGGUGGAGUUUGCUAACAGAAAAGAUAUGCCAAAGCUUGCGGUUUCCUUUGGAUUUGGAAACAAAAUAGGAGAUAUUAUUGAAGAGCUUGUGAAGAUCGGCAAAGAGGUUGAAGCAGUUUAUUUUGCUACAGAGUCUGGAUUAUCAGAGAGAUACCCUCCACUCUCACUUCUUAAGUUAUCUCUCAGGAACUGCCGAAGAAAUGCUAAUAACAUAUCAAAGAAGGGAAAAUUUAGUUCAGCUGCAGUGGACAAAGCUAACAGCAUAGAGUUGGAAGCUACUAAGGCUUUAAUAAAAUGUGUGGAAGAUCAUAAGCUUGAAUCAGAAUUUUCUUUGGAAGGACUGAAAAAACGGGUGACUGAGUUGGAGCAGGCCAAAGCAAAAAAGAAAAUGGGCACAACUUCUAUGAACAAGCCUUCAAAAAAGCGAGGUCGUGGAGGUGGCACUGGCAAGGCCAGUGACCCGUCCACCUCUCGGCUUAAAUCUGGAAGAUUGUCAAAUGCCUCUCCUUCUUUCCGCUCCAGGAAUCCUCCUCAAUCACAUCAGGUUCCACCAGCUAGAUAUACAGAAGCGAGUGUAUAUGAGGCACCUGGCACGUUCUCAUAUGCUCCAGCUUAUAGUGGGACUCGCACCAAAAGUUCGGUUGCACUUCCUACACAAUAUGGAUAUGCACUUCAAGAAGCUGGAGCUUAUAGCGGUACUCACACCCAAAGUCCAAGUAUACUUGCUCCACAAUAUGGAUAUGCACUUCAAGAAGCUGGAGUUAGUGGUGUGCGGAGUUAUCAUGGAUCAUAUGGAGGGGAAACUGGUUAUAGUGCAUAUGAUUAUACUGUCGCUGCUACGGCGCCUUCAUACCCACCUUCAUACCCCCCACAGUAGUACUGAUUACUCAAAAAGAAUCCAGAUGACAUUUGUAGCUGCAGUUUCUGUUUCAUACAUGGAAGGUGCAAGUUCUGAAAAUUUUGGUGAGCGGAAGGAAGUGUUACAGAUGGAUGUCGAUUCACUUUUUUCUGUAGCAUGUUUUAGGGUGUACCUUUAAUGUGAAAACUAUGUAUAGUUUAGUGAGUAUUGUAGUGAUUCAUUUCAACUUUUAAGUCUGUAAAACCGUCUUACUUUGUUAUUCUACAUUAUGAAGAAAAUGAAAUCAGUAAAAGUUUUUUCAA